GCAAUUUGAAACUCAAUCUCAACAAAAUGACCGAAAUUAUUUCUGUUGAAAAAUAAAAUUUGACCUAAAUCCCAAUAAAUGAUUUAGGACUUUUGAGUAUCCAAAUCGGUCAUGUCUGGCAUAUAUGACCGUUUCCGGACCCUUGAGCACAUAUAUACUUUUUGCAUUAGGCCAAAAAAGAUAUUCUUGGUUUUCAUGUACACAUAAUUUUUAAUACCUCAAAAUGCCUACAAUAAUGUAUUUUAUUGGCACUUUUUGAUUGUUAAUCCUAAUAAAGUUAGAUCUCCUUAUAUAUUCCUGGAAAAGAUAAUUCAGUUAUAAUUUGACAGAAGUAAGAUAACAUGCUGUUCUGGUCUCACACAAAAUCAAAGAUAGGGACAUACAUUAAUAUAAUAUAAGUUCCACCUAAAUACAAAACUAUAUUUUUUGUGAGUGCAUGCAUCUUAAAAUGUUUCUUUCAAAACUAUUAUCAAAUGGGCAUAUUUUCAAUGUAAUUUUUUUGGAUUUCUUCUAAUAUCUGCUGCAGCUGAGGUUUCAAGUAAUUAAAUGUUGACUGAAUAUCAAACAUUUGUUUUACAUAUCAGGGGCAUAUUGAUUUCAUUGAAAAAACAGGACCAUUUAAUAAUUAAAUAAACAGCUGCGCCAUGAGCGCAUGAUACGCCCGACGUCUUGUGUGGAAGUUUUAUGCAAUAAUCAUAAAUAGUUUCUGAGAAAGUUUAAGCAAUAACCUUAUAUUGUUUUUGAGACACGGCGGGACAUGUGAAACCCCCAACCCUGUUUUUUUUUUUACAAAAAACUCAAUAUCACUAAAAUAAAAUUUUGAAUCAAAACCAAAAAGUAUACAGAUCUUUAGAUUAAUAUAACAAAGAAGUGUGUAAAGUUUUAAGCAAUAAUCAUAAAUUAUUUUUGAGAUACAGCGCGACAUGUAAAAAAAACCCUCCCCUGUUUAACAAAAUACUCAAUAACUCCAAAAAAAAGUUUUGAAUCAUCACCAAAAAGUAUACAGAUCUUUAGAUUAAUAUAACAAAGAAGUGUGUAAAGUUUUAAGCAAUAGUCAUAAAUUGUUUUUGAGAUACGGCACAACAUGUAAAAAAAAAACC
rnacentral:lncRNA from 1 species